rnacentral:telomerase_RNA from 1 species
UGGCUCUGGGUGGGGUGGCGGCCAUUUUUAUCUAACCCUAACUGAGAAGGGCGUAGGCGCCGUGCUUUUGCUCCCCGCGCGCUGUUUUUUUCGCUGACUUUCAGCGGGCGGAAAAGCCUUGGCCUACCGCCGUCCACAGUCCAGUCUGGAGGAAACAAAAAAUGUCAGCCGCUGGCCCGUUCACCCCUCCCGGGAACCUGCGGUGGUCCGCCCGCCCGCCCCCCGAGCCCUGCCUAAAGGCCGCGGUCGGCCUGGGGCUUCUCCGGAGGUACCCAAUGCCGCCGCGAAGAGUUGGGCUCUGUCAGCCGCGGGUCUCUCGGGGGCCAAGGGCGAGGCUUAGGCCUGCUGGCCACAGGGAAAGUAACGGAGUGGGUCCCCGUACGCGGUGCGCUUCCCUGAGCAGUGGGACUUGCACCCGGGACUCGGCUCAGACAUAC